rnacentral:rRNA from 1 species
CGUGCCGGGGGUAACCUGGAAAGUAUCCCCCCUGGGGAGUACGGUCGCAAGGCUAAAACUCAAAGGAAUUGACGGGGGCCCGCACAAGCAGCGGAGGCGUGUGGUUUAAUUCGAUGCAACGCGAAGAACCUUACCUGGGCUUGAACAUGGGCGUGGUAGCGAAGCGAAAGCGGAGCGACCCUUCGGGGAGCGUCCACAGGUGCUGCAUGGCNGUCGUCAGCUCGUGCCGUGAGGUGUUGGGUUAAGUCCCGCAACGAGCGCAACCCUUGCCGUUAGUUAGACAUGUCUAACGGGACUGCCCCGAGCAACGGGGAGGAAGGUGGGGAUGACGUCAAGUCAGCAUGGCCUUAAUGUCCAGGGCGACACACACGCUACAAUGGUCGGUACAAAGGGUAGCCAA